UACGAAGGGUGCAAGCGUUACUCGGAAUUACUGGGCGUAAAGCGUGCGUAGGUGGUGAGUUAAGUCUGUCGUGAAAGCCCCGGGCUCAACCUGGGAAUGGCGAUGGAUACUGGCUCGCUAGAGUGCGGUAGAGGAGAGUGGAAUUCCCGGUGUAGCAGUGAAAUGCGUAGAGAUCGGGGGAACGAUCAGUUGCGUGAAGCGGACGUCCGG
rnacentral:rRNA from 1 species